GGAUGGUUGGCAGAGCGGCUUAAUGCAGCGGUUUGCUAAAUCGCCGGGCCUUCGCGGUCCCGUAGGUUCAAAUCCUACACCAUCCGCCA
rnacentral:tRNA from 1 species